rnacentral:rRNA from 1 species
AUUGAACGCUGGCGGCAGGCCUAACACAUGCAAGUCGAACGAGUGGCGGACGGGUGAGUAAUGUCUGGGAAACUGCCUGAUGGAGGGGGAUAACUACUGGAAACGGUAGCUAAUACCGCAUACCAUCGGAUGUGCCCAGAUGGGAUUAGCUAGUAGGUGGGGGAAAGGCUCACCGAGGCGACGCUCCCUAGCUGGUCUGAGAGGAUGACCAGCCACACUGGAACUGAGACCCGGCCCAGACUCCUACGGGAGGCAGCAGUGGGGAAUAUUGCACAAUGGGCGAAAGCCUGAUGCAGCCAUGCCGGGUGUAUGAAGAAGGCCUUCGGGUUGUAAAGGACUUUCAGCUGGGAGGCGUUACCCGCAGAAUAAGCACCGGCUAACUCCGUGCCAGCAGCCGCGGGAAUUC